UGGCUCAAAGGGUAAAGCGUCUGCCUGCAAUGCAGGAGACCUGGGUUUGAUUCCUGG
rnacentral:tRNA from 1 species